GUCAAGCUACAAAGGGCGCAUGGUGAAUGCCUUGGCAUCAGGAGCCGAUGAAGGACGUGAUAAGCUGCGAUAAGCUUCGGGUAGGCGCACAUAGCCUGAGAUCCGAAGAUCUCCGAAUGAGGAAACUCACAUGGGAAACCCCAUGUAUCAUUAAGUGAAUACAUAGCUUAAUGAAGGUAACCCAGGGAACUGAAACAUCUAAGUACCUGGAGGAAGAGAAAGAAAAAUCGAUUUUCUUAGUAGCGGCGAGCGAAAGGGAAAGAGCCCAAACCGGAAACUUGUUUCCGGGGUUGUGGACAGAACAUAACGAUUGGUAGGACGUAAUCGAAGAGAACUGGAAAGUUCCACCGUAGAAGGUAAUAGUCCUGUAGAUGAAACGGGAAAUCAAUCAGUUCUGAUCCAGAGUACCACGAGACACGUGAAACCUUGUGGGAAGCAGGGAGGACCACCUCCCAAGGCUAAAUACUACCUGAUGACCGAUAGUGAAGCAGUACCGUGAGGGAAAGGUGAAAAGAACCCCGGGAGGGGAGUGAAAUAGAACCUGAAACCGUGUGCCUACAACCGCUCAGAGCCCCUUAUGAGGGUGAUGAGGUGCUUUUUGUAGAACGAGCCAACGAGUUACGGUAUGUAGCAAGGUUAAGUACUUAAGGUACGGAGCCGAAGGGAAACCGAGUCUGAAUAGGGCGACUAGUUGCAUGCCGUAGACCCGAAACCGGGUGACCUAUCCAUGGCCAGGUUGAAGCGAGGGUAAAACCUCGUGGAGGACCGAACCACGUUGCUGUUGAAAAAGCAUGGGAUGAGCUGUGGAUAGCGGAGAAAU
rnacentral:rRNA from 1 species